rfam:Parcubacteria bacterium C7867-007 C7867_00031, whole genome shotgun sequence.
GGCCCUAUCGUCUAACGGUUAGGACGCGGCCCUUUCACGGCUGAAAUCGGGGUUCGAUUCCCCGUAGGGUCA